rnacentral:rRNA from 1 species
UACGGAGGAUCCAAGCGUUAUCCGGAUUCAUUGGGUUUAAAGGGUGCGUAGGCGGAUAUGUAAGUCCGUGGUGAAAUCUCUGGGCUUAACCCGGAAACUGCCAUGGAUACUAUGUGUCUUGAAUGUUGUUGAGGUGAGCGGAAUAUGUCAUGUAGCGGUGAAAUGCUUAGAUAUGACAUAGAACACCAAUUGCGAAGGCAGCUCACUAAGCAAAUAUUGACGCUGAGGCACGAAAGCGUGGGGAUCAAACAGG